UACAGAGGUCUCAAGCGUUGUUCGGAUUCAUUGGGCGUAAAGGGUGCGUAGGCGGCCAGUUGCGUCUGCUGUGAAAUCCCGGGGCUCAACCCCGGGCUUGCAGUGGAUACGGGCUGGCUGGAGGCAGGCAGGGGAGAACGGAAUUCCCGGUGUAGCGGUGAAAUGCGCAGAUAUCGGGAGGAACACCGGUGGCGAAGGCGGUUCUCUGGGCCUGUACUGACGCUGAGGAGCGAAAGCGUGGGGAGCGAACAGG
rnacentral:rRNA from 1 species